GCGGGUGUAAUUCAGUGGUAGAAUGCAAGCUUCCCAAGCUUGACGUCACGGGUUCAAAUCCCGUCGCCCGCU
rnacentral:tRNA from 1 species